UCCCAGAUGUUUCAGCAGUAAAGAAUCUGCCUGCAACGCAGGAGACCUGGGUUCGAUCCCUGGGUGGGGAA
rfam:Ovis aries breed Texel chromosome 18, whole genome shotgun sequence.